UGGGAUGAUGUCAAGUCAGCAUGGCCUUUAUAUCCUGGGCUACACACACGCUACAAUGGCCAACACAAUAGGUUGCUAAGCCGCGAGGUGGCGCCAAUCCAUAAAGUUGGUCUCAGUUCAGAUUGUAGGCUGCAACCCGCCUGCAUGAAGAUGGAGUUGCUAGUAACCGCAGGUCAGCUAUACUGCGGUGAAUACGUUCCCGGGUCUU
rnacentral:rRNA from 1 species